rnacentral:misc_RNA from 1 species
UUUUUUUUUUUUUUUUUCUUUUAUGAUUUAGAAGACGCCAAAGGCACAACACAAACCAAUGACUAGGAGACCAGUCAUUGCACAACAGUACACAUAUUUCCAGCAUAAAAAUAAUAAUGCACACACCAGGGUUCUUAGGCUUUAAUGCUGCAAGGAGAAAUAAAACACUAAAAUCACUUUAAGAAAAUGAAAACAAAAAAAUAAUAAUAAAUAGACAAAUUUAUACCACCAUUACAGCUGUCAAAUAGGCAGUGUGAAGAGUAACACGACAAAGAAACCUUACAAAUUAACAUGAUACCCCAUGUGGCAAUGCUGCAUCUCAUGAAUUAAGCACUAACUUGCCAAAGGACGAAAUUGUGGCUAAGGUAAUAGUAUAAGUUAAUAAGAAGAUUUUGCCAAUGACAAGAUACAUCAUACAUGAAGGGAAAGCCACCCACAAACAUUUGCAUGAACGCUUUGUGAGAUUUAUUUAUAGACAAAGCAUUUUCCAGCUGCUUCAUACCAAUAUUUCAGAUUUUGGCACCAUUGCUGUCAAUUUAAAUAUCCAUAUAAUAUUUAUCCAUGGUAAAUUUCGAUUCUUACUUGAUGCAGCAUCAUGGUCAGUG